CGGGUUGUAAAGCACUUUCAGUUGUGAGGAAGGUGGUGUCGUUAAUAGCGGCAUCAUUUGACGUUAGCAACAGAAGAAGCACCGGCUAACUCCGUGCCAGCAGCCGCGGUAAUACGGAGGGUGCGAGCGUUAAUCGGAAUUACUGGGCGUAAAGCGCAUGCAGGUGGUUUGUUAAGUCAGAUGUGAAAGACCCGGGGCGUCAACCUCGGAACUGCAUUUGAAACUGGCAGACUAGAGUACUGUAGAGGGGGGUAGGAAUUUCAGGUGUAGCGGUGAAAUGCGUAGAGAUCUGAAGGAAUACCGGUGGCGAAGGCGGCCCCCUGGACAGAUACUGACACUCAGAUGCGAAAGCGUGGGGAGCAAACAGGAUUAGAUACCCUGGUAG
rnacentral:rRNA from 1 species